rnacentral:lncRNA from 1 species
AAAUGGGGAUAAAUUGGUUAAAAAGGGGGGGAAAUGGGUGAAACUUUUUGGCUGCUGACACUGAUCCAGGGCUGGGGAAACAUCACCCCACACCCAGGGGCUGAACUGGGAUGGACUGGGAUGGACUGGGAGGGACUGGGAGGGACUGGGAUGAACUGGGAGGGACUGGGAUGAACUGGGAGGGACUGGAAUGGACUGGGAACACUGGGAUGGAACUGGGAGCAGAGCCUGAGCUGGGCUAGGCUGUGCAGUGGUCACUCACAGGCCCAGCAGUGGUCCAUACCGGUCCAUACUGGUUUAUACUGGUCCAUACUGGUCCAUACUGGUCCAUACUGGUCCAUACUGGUCUAUACUGGUCCAUACUGGUUUAUACCGGUCCAUACCGGUUUAUACUGGUCCAUACUGGUUUAUACUGGUCCAUACCGGUCCAUACUGGUUUAUACUGGUCCAUACUGGUCUACACCGUCCCGCCCCAGCCGGCGCCGUCCCCCUGGCGCUGUCCCCGGUGAGUUUUCAGGUGCUCCCGGAGGUGGUGUUUGAGCUUGAAGCGUUUGUGGCAGCGGCCGCAGGGGAAGGGCCGCAGGCUCAGGGUCAGCAGGACGUGGCGGUCGCGCUUGGGCCGCGCCGCGAAGCGUUUCCCGCACGCGCAGCCGAAGCGCUUCCCGUCCGCCGGCGCCGCCGCCAGC